UUCGAGUACAAAGUCAAAAAGGUUACUUCCUGUAUAUAUAUCUUAAAGGCAAAAUGUAUACACAUGAUCUUGAUUCAAUAUUAAACAUCACUUCAACAUUAAAACGAAGAAAACUAUGAAAACUUAGCGAUUGUGGCAGCAUGUGACAUGCCAUGAGACCGUCCAAUAUGUGUAAGCUAUAACUAGCCAAUUGCAGUAUUGUUUCUUACUAUUUAGCACCAAAACUGAAGUACAAAAAGCUCAUACCAAUUCAACAAAGCAUAACACACCAGUAGUUCAAAAUGAAUACUCCUUCAGGUCGGACUCCGACUCGCCCAUUGCCAAUUCUACCGUGCACUCUUCUUCAGUCAAAGGUGGAAGAUUCUUGGUUUUGCGCUUGACAUUAUGCUUAUGCCAUUCACUCUUGUGAUGCUCUCUAAACUGAGUAGCAUCCCCCACAACUACGUUGCAUGUGCUGCAGCGUUUUCCUUCCUUCGGGGCAUUCUCGCCAUUGACAGAGAUUGUCUGCUUUUGUAAAGCUUCACUUAGCUGGGGAAUAGCCGAUUCCGGUUCCUUUACUUGCCUUGGUGGCAGUUCCAUAUUCUCAUAAUCAUCGUCGUAUUGAUCCACAUUGGUGUCCCCUUCCUCGUGCAAACAAAAAGAGAGAACUUCAAAUCUGCCUUGUAGUUCACUCAUUAAUGGAUUACAGUCUCGAUAAAAGCUAGGAUCCAAUUCACAAAUAAUGCUUCGUUGCUGAUUUCCAGACUGAUCAUUGGAAAUGAUACUAG
rnacentral:misc_RNA from 1 species